GCGGAUAUGGUGUAAUUGGUAGCCACGUCAGACUUAGGAUCUGAUGCCUUACCGGCGUGGGGGUUCGAGUCCCUUUAUCCGCACAA
rnacentral:tRNA from 4 species